UAUGGCCAUAUCUUGUUAAAACACUGGUUCCCAUAUGAUCACUGAAGUUAAGCAAUGUCAGGCCUGAUCAGUACCUAGAUGGGUGUAAGCUUGGAUGAAUGGGUGGUG